rnacentral:rRNA from 1 species
GAUGAACGCUGGCGGCGUGCCUAAUACAUGCAAGUCGAGCGAACGGAUGAGAAGCUUGCUUCUCUGAUGUUAGCGGCGGACGGGUGAGUAACACGUGGAUAACCUACCUAUAAGACUGGGAUAACUUCGGGAAACCGGAGCUAAUACCGGAUAAUAUUUUGAACCGCAUGGUUCAAUAGUGAAAGACGGUCUUGCUGUCACUUAUAGAUGGAUCCGCGCUGCAUUAGCUAGUUGGUAAGGUAACGGCUUACCAAGGCAACGAUGCAUAGCCGACCUGAGAGGGUGAUCGGCCACACUGGAACUGAGACACGGUCCAGACUCCUACGGGAGGCAGCAGUAGGGAAUCUUCCGCAAUGGGCGAAAGCCUGACGGAGCAACGCCGCGUGAGUGAUGAAGGUCUUCGGAUCGUAAAACUCUGUUAUUAGGGAAGAACAUAUGUGUAAGUAACUGUGCACAUCUUGACGGUACCUAAUCAGAAAGCCACGGCUAACUACGUG